rnacentral:pre_miRNA from 1 species
UACCGAUAUUUUCCUCGGCAGUUAACUGCAGCUGGUUUUUGAAUUCCUCGGCAGUUAACUACCGAGGGGGCA